rnacentral:rRNA from 1 species
UAGGGAAUCUUCGGCAAUGGACGAAAGUCUGACCGAGCAACGCCGCGUGAGUGAAGAAGGUUUUCGGAUCGUAAAACUCUGUUGUUAGAGAAGAACAAGGACGUUAGUAACUGAACGUCCCCUGACGGUAUCUAACCAGAAAGCCACGGCUAACUACGUGCCAGCAGCCGCGGUAAUACGUAGGUGGCAAGCGUUGUCCGGAUUUAUUGGGCGUAAAGCGAGCGCAGGCGGUUUCUUAAGUCUGAUGUGAAAGCCCCCGGCUCAACCGGGGAGGGUCAUUGGAAACUGGGAGACUUGAGUGCAGAAGAGGAGAGUGGAAUUCCAUGUGUAGCGGUGAAAUGCGUAGAUAUAUGGAGGAACACCAGUGGCGAAGGCGGCUCUCUGGUCUGUAAAUGACGCUGAGGCUCGAAAGCGUGGGGAGCAAACAGG